AACUUGACCUCAUAUGGAUGUCAAUGACUUCAUUACUUGGUAAAUUCUUUUGUUGUGAAAUUUCUGAACUAGUAUAUGAAGAAUCAGUUUUAGAAGCUCAUCAGCUAUGGCCAGGAUGGGGAGCUUUACUAUGAGCAUCAUAUGGAAAAUGCUUUAUUGUGCUCUGCUGCUGGCAUCCAUGGGUGCAGCAGGACUCGGUGCCACGGUGCAGAUCUCCUGGACCGGUAGGGUGACCGCCGGUUCCCGCACCACCUUCACCUGUUCUUCGUCUUGUUUUCCAAACUGCAUCUACAGCUGGAGCGUUAACGGCAGGACAGUCAAUGGGAGCGCAUUAACCUGGACACCAGAUGGACAGGACGUUUCAGUGGAACUGCAGUGCACCGUCCUCAAUCCUAAAACAGGAAGGUCCAGCAGUACAACCACCAUCGUGGAGAUCAGGAAUCCAGUCUCUGUGCGAAUCAGUCCUCCAAACAUUGUCCCAUCUCUCAACCAGCCGCUGAGCUUGGUCUGCCAAGAUUCUGAAUCCAGAGACCAUCCAGGCUUUAUCAGACAUCGUCUGGUACAAAGAUGGACAGAAAGUGGCUUUCCAGGAAAAAAUGAGGUUCCUUCAGAACAAUCUCACCCUUCACUUUGACUCUCUGCUCUCCUCCGACACUGGUUUUUAUCAAUGUGAAGUUUAUGUGCCACAAUCAGAGACGAGGGUUUACAGCCUGGGAUUCCUGCUCAGCUUUGAUCCGUGGAACGUCACCAUCAGCGGACCCGAUGAGGUGUUUCCUGGCAGGUUGAGUCAGUUCGUCUGUGUCACCAGCUGCACACUGAACGUUGAAUGUACUGUCAGAUGGGAGUUCAGAGGAGGUUUCCCCAUUGGGACCUACUUUUCAGUCAAUGCAAAUCACCUAAAGUGGAUUCCCUCCAAACCCGGGACAUUUCAGAACUUUACGUGCAUCGCAGAGAACAAAGCUGCAGGUCGCUCAGCUGAGGACACAAAGACAGUCGAAGUUAAAGGAAUUCCCAUCUCUCGAUCAGAGGCAACACAGCUCAGUGGACUUUUAGUGUUGGUAUUCUGUUUCUUUUUGAUUCACACAACUGUUCCUGUAUUUAAUAUUUAAAGAAUGUAUUUUGAGGUGCUAUUUAUUUUUAACAGUUCUUUGGUUUGUCUGCUUUACUGUCAUUUGAUUUAAUCCCACAAAGCUGCUAAACAAAAUAUGUAACAAUAAAGUUAAAUGAAACCUUAACCAUCUUCAUUAUUUUAUUAAUAAUGUAAUAAAGUGUAAUAAGUGUAAUUCGGACACUGGAUUGA